UUCGUUUGCCUGACCAGACAUUCACGCAGUGGCUAAAGAGAUCGCACCCAUUAACGGUGUUGACCUUCUUAAGAUCCGUAAUAUCCUUCUAGAGAAGUGGCUUUGCACACCAGGGCAGACAAAUGGCAAGGACCUCCAGUACCAGGACUCUGUGACUGAUCUUACUGAGGAUCCUGAUCUCAUGAGAGUGGUGUAUUUGCUGCAGAUGCACUCCAUGGAUAUGAGGCACGUUUCCUCAGUCCUAUCCUGAGUGCAGAGACAAAUGUAAAUUAUAUAGCUGUAGCUUCAGCAUGUAUAUGAUUUCUUUCCAUUUUAUACAGUAUUAGUAUAAUUUAAAGGGCCAGUGGGUAAAAUCAAAGCUCUAAAGUUUACAUGUACAGUAACACUGUAAUUAUUAUUUAUAACUCCUUCACACUACCUUCCCUCCAAGCCCAUAUACAUGUAUACCUGCCUCCUACAAUUUCUGAUGGACAGCAGUUUAUCGUCAUGUUCAUUUGCAACAAACCUUUCAUUUACUGGAUGAAUGAAUGUCAGCAUUCAUUCAUACGCCUCGUCCCAUAUGAGGAAAGUAUAUCUGGAAAACUAAGCGUUACGUAUCAGACUUGACACAUUAUACUGGUGUGUAAAACCUAACACUAACUUUUUUUUUAAAGAAAAACAAAGUACACAAUGAUUUAUUACAUUAAUACUAAAUAACGUUAUCUGUAUAUAGUUACACUUCAUAUAACUUGUGUUUGGGGCUGCAGCGACUAGUCUGAAUAAUCAGUAGACUUCCUGUAGAA